GCGCGGCUUACACAUGCAGUCGAGCGGUAACAGGGGGUGCUUGCACCCCGCUGACGAGCGGCGGACGGGUGAGUAAUGCAUAGGAAUCUGCCCAGUAGUGGGGGAUAGCCCGGGGAAACCCGGAUUAAUACCGCAUACGCCCUUUGGGGGAAAGCAGGGGAUCUUCGGACCUUGCGCUAUUGGAUGAGCCUAUGUCGGAUUAGCUAGUUGGUGGGGUAAAGGCCUACCAAGGCGACGAUCCGUAGCUGGUCUGAGAGGAUGAUCAGCCACAUCGGGACUGAGACACGGCCCGAACUCCUACGGGAGGCAGCAGUGGGGAAUAUUGGACAAUGGGGGCAACCCUGAUCCAGCCAUGCCGCGUGUGUGAAGAAGGCUUUCGGGUUGUAAAGCACUUUCAGUGAGGAGGAAAACCUUCUGGUUAAUACCCAUGAGGCUUGACGUUACUCACAGAAGAAGCACCGGCUAACUCCGUGCCAGCAGCCGCGGUAAUACGGAGGGUGCAAGCGUUAAUCGGAAUUACUGGGCGUAAAGCGCGCGUAGGUGGUUUGAUAAGCGAGAUGUGAAAGCCCCGGGCUUAACCUGGGAACGGCAUUUCGAACUGUCA
rnacentral:rRNA from 1 species